rnacentral:rRNA from 1 species
AGUGAACGCUGGCGGUAGGCCUAACACAUCCAAGUCGAACGGCAGCACAGUAAGAGCUUGCUCUUACGGGUGGCGAGUGGCGGACGGGUGAGGAAUACAUCGGAAUCUACUUUUUCGUGGGGGAUAACGUAGGGAAACUUACGCUAACACCGCAUACGACCUACGGGUGAAAGCAGGGGAUCUUCGGACCUUGCGCGAUUGAAUGAGCCGAUGUCGGAUUAGCUAGUUGGCGGGGUAAAGGCCCACCAAGGCGACGAUCCGUAGCUGGUCUGAGAGGAUGAUCAGCCACACUGGAACUGAGACACGGUCCAGACUCCUACGGGAGGCAGCAGUGGGGAAUAUUGGACAAUGGGCGCAAGCCUGAUCCAGCCAUACCGCGUGGGUGAAGAAGGCCUUCGGGUUGUAAAGCCCUUUUGUUGGGAAAGAAAAGCAGCAGGUUAAUACCCCGCUGUUCUGACGGUACCCAAAGAAUAAGCACCGGCUAACUUCGU